rnacentral:tRNA from 14 species
GGGCGAUUAGCUCAGCUGGGAGAGCGCCUGCCUUACAAGCAGGAUGUCGGCGGUUCGAGCCCGUCAUCGCCCACCA